AUACGGAGGACGCGAGCGUUAUCCGGAUUCAUUGGGUUUAAAGGGUGCGCAGGCGGCCGUGCAAGUCAGCGGUGAAAGCCCGGGGCUCAACCCCGGAAGUGCCGUUGAUACUGCGUGGCUGGAAUGCGGUCGAGGCGGGCGGAACGGGGCGUGUAGCGGUGAAAUGCGUAGAUAUGCCACAGAACGCCGAUAGCGGAGGCAGCUCGCCAGGCCUGCAUUGACGCUCGGGCACGAAAGCGUGGGGAUCGAACAGGAUUAGAUACCCUGGUAGUCCACGCCGUAAACGAUGGGCGCUCGUCGUCGGCGGCAGACAGUCGGCGGCCAAGCGAAAGCGAUAAGCGCCCCACCUGGGGAGUACGGUCGCAAGGCUAAAACUCAAAUGAAUUGGCGGGG
rnacentral:rRNA from 1 species